UACAGAGGCCCCGAGCGUUAAUCGGAAUUACUGGGCUUAAAGGGUGCGUAGGCGGACCAGAAAGUGCUUUGUGAAAGCCCCCGGCUCAACCGGGGAACUGCGGGGCAUACUGCUGGUCUUGAGGCAAGUAAGGGUUGCGAGAACUGUAGGUGGAGCGGUGAAAUGCGUAGAUAUCUACAGGAAUGCCGAUGGUGAAGACGCGCAACUGGGCUUGUCCUGACGCUGAGGCACGAAAGCGUGGGGAGCAAACAGG
rnacentral:rRNA from 1 species